UUGGGGCCGGAACGACCUGUUACCGUUAAUUUAUACCACUAAAAUCUACUAGAGUUGUCUUUCCUUAAGAAGCAGAAGACACUUGCUGUGAAAACGGAUAUGGCUGCCGAAUUCUGAAGAAAAGUUUAUUUUAGGGAUCUUUACAGGUAUACUUAGGAAAACUGACUGUCAGGUACAGUGCUAUUAGGAUGUUGUCCACUAAGCUAAUGAUGGGGAUUGUAGCACUACCCUGCACACAGACAUGGAAUGGAUUUGCCUAGUCCAUUAUCAGAAGAGUGACCAGGACUGUUCGUCUCAUCAGAGAAGUUUCUCGAGAAGCAUUACAAGGGACUUGUAUGAAUGGGCAGAAGAAUUUUAUUUAACUGACCACCCCAUCAUUGCCUGCUGUUGGAGACUGAACACUUUAUUGAAAAUUGCUGGGGUGUAGCAAUCAGUGGGUGUCCUUAUUUGCCCUGAGAAGAGUCAGAGAAGUAUUCAUUUUUAUUGCAAAAAGUUUAGUUCAUGUAAUGAGCAUGAACACACAUUUUACAGUUAUCUCCCUUAGACUAUGUAAAUUAUAAUACAGCACUUGCUAAUGAUGUUAUUUUACAUAUUAAUGUUGAUUGAAUGUUGUCAAUUUGGUUUGUAGUCAAAGAUAUGAGUUAUAGCUGCCUGUAUUGUACCAGUUUACAUACAGUUACCUUCAGAAUUAACAGUAGAUUACAUGUACCUGACUCCCCAGGUUACCUGAGUGAUUAUUGCUGUUGGUCUGCAUCCAUCACUGUGUUUCGUCUGCCGUGCAUUACCAGUAUUGAACAUGUUAUAUACCUGUCUUUAGAUGGGACGUAUUAACUUAAGCUCCCUGGGCCUCAUGAGAUGGUGACACCCUGCAGUAGGAGCAGUUCCUACCGAUAUCUCUUAAAAGCAGACAGAGGUUCUCAUAGCAUCUGAUCCAUUUCUGGAGACAGACUUUUGUAUGGAGCUGGGUAGCAGUUACUUAGAUGUCCAGCUUAUUGAUGAGGAUAAUUUCCCUGAGACUCUAACAUUUUGUAGGACUUGGAUAGCUCUAUUGCUGUAGAAAAUGUCAGCACCACAGGGCUAACAUCACUCAGCCAAACUUGCCUCAAACCAUGCUUGGGUAAAGAGGAUUCAAGUUUGUGCAAAAUGGAGGACCAUGCUUCAUCCAAAGGGGAGUACCCCCGCGGUGGUCUAGAAGUUAGAGUGCACGCCCCACAUGCGGAAGGCCGGGGUUCAAAUCCUGGCCACGACAGACCUAAGUCGUUAAAACAGGUAGUGACAGUUCCAUCGUCAAACGUUCAGCAUCAGGUGUGAAUGUCACGGGUCCUCGGAGACGACCUUAAAAACGGUAGGUAUGGCACGCUAAAUUUAAAUGUUAAACAAGAUACAAUCAAUCAUUUGAACAAACAUGAAUUCCCUUUACCUAAGGAUGAAUGGUACCAGUUUUGAUUGGAAUAGGCCAAGUGGUUGUGGAGAAGAAGAUGAUAAUGUAAAAAGAAGGGUUGGGAGGUUAAUACCGCCCAGGUUUUAACCAGUGGUUUUAACAGUCCCGGUCAAUACUCCCCAAGUGGUCAAUUGUGAUUUAAACUGUCCAUUUUCCUAUUUUUGUACAUUUCUUGCACAGAUAAAGAUAUAUUAAGUCUUUUCAUUAUACAGAUCAAUUGUUGAUUAAUAUUUUUCAUUAGAUAAUCAAAUGUAAUUUCAUAAGUUUAAUAUAUUUGGCUUGCUGAAACUGACCGAAAUAUCUUCAGUACCUACCAGAGGGUCACAGUUCUAUAGCAUGAGGGUCACAGUUCUAUAGCAUAGCUUGACAAUUGGAGACAGACCUGUUCAUACAUGUACCUGGACAGAUUAAGAAUAAAAGGUAGCUGGACAUUACCUGAGCACAGGAAGCAGAGUUGACAGGUAUUAAUAAGCAUAGGCUGGGACCAGAGAUGACCAGUGUGCCUGUUAUUGUUAUGAAAACAUCGCCAACCCACCCCCUCAAAUGUUUAUUAUUCAACAGUUAAAAUGAAGAUUGAUGAAACAAUACUUAUAGGUAGUUCUUGUUAAACUAAGGAAUUUGAACAGAAACUUUUGCUGCAUCUUCCCCAAUUCAACAGAGUCAAUUGUACAUUAUUUAUUUAAUAUUGUCACUUAUCAGUAUAUUAUAAACUGAUAGUGCAUGUUAUGAAUUACAGUAUUUACCAUAAUGGUCACUUAAACGUUUAAAAUAAAUAACACAGACUAUAAUGACCAAAUAAUUUUCAAUCGACCAGUAUUAACUAGUAUUGACUGGUUUUAACUAGUAUUAUUGACCACCGGCCCAGUCAAUACUCAUAUUGACCACUUUUUUGCCAACCCUGAAUUAAAAAGUCAAUAACAACAGAUAAAUUUCAAUAGGAAAAGCUCACUUUGUAUUGUGGAUAUCGGCCUGGAUAGUUUUGUGUGUUUAGAGCACCUGACUAUUACAUAUGUAAUACAGGGAUGUCAGGUUUGAUUCCCGGUCCAGUCAAACCAUGGCUAUCGGUUUGAAUAGCUCAGUGGUUAGAGCACCUGACUAGUAAUACAGGGGUCUGGGGUCCAAUUCCUGGUCGUUAUAUCAUGGGAAUGAAGGGCCUUUGAUUCGAUUCCCGGUUCAGUCAUAUCUUCUUUUCCUUCCCAUUACAUCUACAUCUAUGUAAACAUGUAAAAAUAUAUCACAAACUAUCCUUGACAAUUCAGUUUGAUAUGAUUACACUUUGUUUA